ACGCACGCUGGCGGCUUGCUUCACCCCUGCCAGUCGCACGGAAAGGCCCUGCUUUUGUGGGGUGCUCGAGUGGCGAACGGGUGAGUAACACGUGAGUAACCUGCCCUUGACUUUGGGAUAACUUCAGGAAACUGGGGCUAAUACCGGAUAGGAGCUCCUGCUGCAUGGUGGGGGUUGGAAAGUUUCGGCGGUUGGGGAUGGACUCGCGGCUUAUCAGCUUGUUGGUGGGGUAGUGGCUUACCAAGGCUUUGACGGGUAGCCGGCCUGAGAGGGUGACCGGCCACAUUGGGACUGAGAUACGGCCCAGACUCGUACGGGAGGCAGCAGUGGGGAAUAUUGCACAAUGGGCGGAAGCCUGAUGCAGCAACGCCGCGUGCGGGAUGACGGCCUUCGGGUUGUAAACCGCUUUCGCCUGUGACGAAGCGUGAGUGACGGUAAUGGGUAAAGAAGCACCGGCUAACUACGUG
rnacentral:rRNA from 1 species